AUUGCUUCUCAGCCUUUUGGCUAAGAUCAAGUAUAGUGUCUGUUCUUAUCAGUUUACUAUCUGAUAUUUCCACUAUCUAAGGACAAUAUAUUAAAUGUAUUUUGGGACAGGGAGAUGGAAUAAGAGCUGCUUUAUCCACUCAUGUUUUGACCCAGUUUUACAGUACUUCCAGGAACAGUGCACCAGAA